rnacentral:lncRNA from 1 species
CGCUCCCGCACGUCUCGCUCCGCGACCUCGCGGCCGAGCACGGCCGCGAUGGACUCAUGCUCCUCCGCCUCGGCGCCGUCCCGACGCUCAUCGUAACCUCGCCGAGCGCCGCGCAGGCCGUGCUGCGCACCCACGACCACGUCUUCGCGUCCCGGGCAUACUCCCCCGUCACCGACAUCCUCUUCUACGGCUCCACGGACGUCGCCUUCUGCCCCUACGGCGAGCACUGGCGGCAGGUCAAGAAGAUCGCCACCACGCAUCUCCUCACCAACAAGAAGGUCCGCUCCUACCGCCAUGCGCGCGAGAACGAGGUAGCUAUCCAUCAACUUGAUUUUGAUAGCACCAUGUGCAUGUUGCGAGAAUAUGUUUUAGAGCACCUGCACACGGGCCCUUUUUAUCUAGCCAUCCAUUUCUCGUAUCGCAAUUCGUGCAAGUAUAUUUCUUUUUUAUUUCUCUUAUAUAGAACAUGUCUUGAAGUUUAAACCUAUCUAAAACAGCAAAGCUUUCUAACUAGAAUCUAGGAUAAAACUUUUAGAUUUUUUGGUCAAACAUAAAUAUAAAAAAUAAGUUUUGUUUGGAAAAAAAAUCUUAUUUUUAGUAUUUAUGUCGGACCAAAAAUUCUGAAAGAUUUAUCAUUGAACUUCAAGACAUGUUCUAUACGGGAGAAAUGAAAAAGAGAAAAAAUUAUAUAGAAAGUUAGUUGUGUCGCAUAGAUCUUAAAGCGACAUUGGAGGGUUAGAAUAGCAGGUCCGGGGUGUAGGUGCUCAAAAAAUCUGUGUACAUGCAUGUUGUCCACCUCAUCAGCCAUACUGACAUUAACUAUUGUUGCCUCUGCUCGCCUCCUCGAUCAACAAGGUGAGGUUGGUGGUGGCCAAGAUCCGGGAGGCCGCCACCACUGGCGCCGCCAUGGACCUGAGUGACCUGCUCAAUGCAUUCACCAACGACAUCGUCUGCCACGCUGUGGCCGGCAAGUAUUUCAGGAAACAAGGCCACAACAAGCUCUUUCGAGAGCUCGUCGAGGCCAACUCGUCGCUCAUCGGCGGUUUCAACCUGGAAGACUACUUCCCAGUGUUGGUGAAGCUGGACUUCAUCAAGAGGAUGGUUUGCGCCAAGGCCCAGAAGGUGAACAAGAUGUGGGACGAACUGCUCAAUAGCCUCAUCGAUGAGCACGCAAGCAGGCCCACGUCAGAACAAGGCGGCGAUGACAGCGACUUCAUCAAUGUGUUGCUUUCCAUUCAACAAGAGUACGAUCUUACUGGAGACCAUAUUAAGGCUCAGUUGGAGGUAUGACCUCACAUAUUAAGGUUCAGUUCCAAAUUAUUUGAAGUUGUAGCUUUGUGUUUAGUCAAAUUUUACUAUAGUUGACUAAGUCUAUACAAAAGUGUCCCAAUAUUUACAACAAUAAAUAUAUAUAUAGUGUACGGAAUAUAUUUUAUAACGAAGCUAAUUUGGUUUCAAUAUAUUGUUAUGUUUUUUUAUAAACUUGGCCAAUUUAAAAGAGUUGACUUAAGACAAACAUAAAACUUUAAAUAAUUUGGAACGGAGAGUAGCUUAUACAUGUUGUUCAUUCUAAUAUGUGUAUACGUGUGUAUGUAUGUAUGCAGAUCAUGUUUGAAGCUGGCACUGAUACAUCAUUUAUAGUGUUGGAAUAUGCCAUGGUUCGGCUCAUGCAAAACCCCCACCUCAUGAAUAAGCUAAAAAACGAGGUAAGGAGCACUAUAUCCAAGGGGAAAGACAUGAUUGCUGAAGACGAUCUAAGCAGUUUGGCCUACCUAAAGGCAGUCAUCAAAGAGACACUCCGGCUCCAUAUGCCCGCACCGCUCCUUGUGCCUCACCUCUCCAUGGCCGACUGCAAAAUUAAUGGCUACACGAUACCAUCAGGGACGCGCGCCAUCGUCAACAGUUGGGCUCUUGCAAGGGAUCCCAGCAGCUGGGAGAGCGCAGAAGAGUUCAUGCCUGAGCGGUUCAUGGAAGGUGGUAGCGCUGCAACUAUGGACUACAAGGGAAACGAUUUCCCCUACUUGCCCUUUGGGACUGGGCGGAGGAUCUGCCCAGGUAUCAACUUUGCAAUUGUGACCAUUGAAAUCAUGCUAGCAAAUCUCAUGUACCACUUCGACUGGAAGCUACCAUCAGAAUCAAUGGAAGCUGGCAUCAGUAUGACUGAAUCAUUUGGGGUAACGGUGCACCGAAAGGAAAAGCUCCUCCUUGUCCCUGUAGUGCCGGAAGGUUAAUAAAAAGUGGUCCAUAGACACUACCUACAUAAUAGUCAUCUAGAUUUUUGGACUUUUUAUUAAGCACGAGUGUAUUGAGUAAAUAAAGCGUUGCAUCACAAAUAGAUCGCCAUAUUCAUGACUAGCAGUUAAGACUAGUACAAGAACGCUCAUUUGGACAGUUUAUAACUUUAUAUGUGUGCCCAAACGAUUGAAAUUUCCUUAUCAGCAAUACUCAGCACUACCAUGUACAACUUGGUUUUUAGUAAUAUAUAGACAACAUUGCUUACUUCCAUAGGUCAUAAUUAAAGAGCCUCUGGUGGGCUUUCAUUUUCCUUCACAAAGAUUUGACCUUAUAUUGGAAACAUGCAUCACUAACAUGCAGUCUAUGUUUGCUUUAACACAUACGCUUGUCAAUUUUUUUGAUAGAUCUCUCUCUCUCUCUCUCCCUCCCUCCCUCCGUCCCUCCCUCCGUCCCUCCCUCCCUCUCUCUCUCUCUCUCUCUCUCUCUCCCAGCCACUAAUGGGACUGAUGUCUGAUCUGAAGUGCUCUUAGUAUGAUGUGAUAUGCAAGGACACACCUCAAUCCACACCCUAAUUCAUUGCAUCGUCACCAACAAUAAUAUAGCAUUCUUAAUCUUUAAUGACUAAGUAGUCCUCACAUUGUGUAUUUAUGUAAGAAAAUGUCUCUUCCGUUUGCUUAGUUUUACUUUGUAAUUUUACCCUCACCAAAUUCUCUCUAUAUAGCAUGCAAUCAUUCUUUUGGUGCCCUCCAUUGGUGAACUCUUUUUUGUCUUGACUUUGAUCUCCCACUAGAUUUAUCAAUGCCUUGUUAAGUCUUGCAUGUCUACUUCCAUGACUCGCAGAUUUUAGCUUGGGUUUAGCCACAUUUGCAUCAUCAGAAGAGACUUUGUUUUCUCCGUGUUCUAUCUAUUUGGAUUCUUCAUUCAACAUGAUGUUCUUCACCAUCUCUAUUAUCGGCCUGCCAUUUGAACUUGAAUUGCUAAGUGACACAAAAAGCAUGUUAUAGCUAUUAGGAAUGGACCUCGAUCAUUGCAACAAUGCUUGCAUCUGAUCGUCAAACUUGAUCUUCACAGAUAAGAGUUGAUUAGACAAUAUUGGAGGACAUUCAGUUGCUCAAUCAAAUUAUUUUCAUUUGGGUAGUCAAGCUUCACAGGUGUUUGAUUACCGUGGCUUUGUUUACUAAAGUGUUUCUCUCAAAUAUGAACUCUAACUUCCGCCACAUUUGAUAAGCGUUUGUUUCAUUUGCAACUUGUUGGAAUAUAUCACUACUGAUGUAAAAACGAAUCAUACCAAUGGCCUUUAGGUUCAACAUUCUCCAUCCUCUUCCAUUACACCAACCGGAGGCAACUAGGCUAACGGCCCUAUUGAACCGUGCUCUGAUAUCACUCUCUUGCAGAUGAGCACAAAGUUACGGUAAUAUUAAAAUUAGAGUAGAAUCAAAGUAUAGUUUUAACACUAGUUCAAGGAUUGUUAAUCAACGAGGAAGGAAACAUAUGCAUCUUCAACUAUGGAGAAACUGGAUCAAGCCCACCAAAGAAAAUGAAACUGGAAACCUAUGCAUUCUUUUUAAUCAACGAGUCACCUUGUAGAUUUCUCUUAGACAAACCACCACAACCAUUUUGAAAGCAAACAUAACUAGAAAAUAAUGCAAAACAUAGUUAACAAACUUGCUAAGGAGAAUUACAUCGCAAGCUCUGAAAGAUUUGAAAUAGUUAAAAACCCCAAGGCCAACACCAACCACAAGCAACAUAUGCAUCAAAGCAACAAAAAGCAUAACAAGAUCUAAACACAAUCUCCUCCAAAACAUAUCUUGAAUAAUAUACAGAUCUAAACCAUCCAGGAUCCACUGUCCUUAGCCCAAAAACCUGCAUCGCAUGCCUAGGAGUCUACAUGAAGGAUCUCAGGCAUGGCUUCCCACAUAAGCUUCUUCUAGCACCAUCUUGAACAUCGAGCUCGGAUAUUGUUUGAAAAAAUUCAAGCUCCAUCACCAACUAAAUCAUCAAGUUAAAUGCAGUUAAACCACAAUUUGCCAAAUGAGUUUCGCGAGAUUGCACUUAAAGAACAAAUGUUCAAGAUUCUCCUUAUGCUCACACAAGUGGCAUUGGUCAUUGCUAGUACAACCCCUCUUGAGAAAAUUUAAUAGGUUAAUAUGUUGUUCUUCAACAUCAACUAGACAAGAUUUUAAUAUUGAAAACGAGGGGACGCAAAGGAUCUCCAUGUCCAGCUUUGUAAGUUAGGAAAGAUGGCUGUAUCUUGUUGUUCACUUUACUCACCACUCUUCCACCUCUAACAAUCUUCAUCACCCAAUCAUUCCACUUGUUCCCAAAACUUUUUUACUUGCAUCAUUUGAUACAAAAAAGACCCCUUAACUUUGUCAUAUAUCUUUUCAAAAUCUAUCAUAAGCAGCACCCCAACUUUUUUUGUUGAUUGAAUUGCAUGAAUGGUUUCAUGAAAUAAAGAAACACUCACCAUUAUAUAUCUAUCCUUAAUAUUAUCAGUCUGCUUACCAAUCACCAGUCGUAAUCUAACAUCUAAAAACUUUGUGAGUAUUUUACAGCUAGCACUUAGUAGGCAUAUUGGCCCGAACUUAUGAAUACCUUAGCAUCCUGAACUUUUGAAAACAGGGUAAUAAUGCCAUGAAAACAAGGUAAUAAUGCAAUGAUUCCACCUCUCAAAAUCCAACACUCCAUUACUAAAUGCAUCAAACAUUUCUUUCUAAUCAUGUUUAAUAUCCUCCCAACAAACUUUGUAAAAUUAUGCAGGUAAACGAUCAGGUUUUGCAGAUUAAUUAUGCUUCAAACCAAACACAUAUUUUUUAUUCACCCCCAAACAAACUCCUUAGUAAAAAAAUAUUGUUCCUCUGUACUCAACUGAGAAUAAUAUAAACCAUCCAAAGAAAUGGAGGUCGCUUCAUGAGCACCAAAAAGGGUUUUAUAGAUUUGAGUAAUGUGUUAUAUCUGCUCAUCAUCCCCUAGGCUCAACACCAUUAUUUUGCAAAAUUGCAAUAUUGUUUUCUUCCACUGGCUUUCAGAUGGCACUAGUAGAAAAGGGGGCAAUGGCCCAGGCAGGUUCAGCCCAUUAGUCUCGGUUCUGCCACGAACCGGGACAAAUGGAGGUAUUUGUCCCGGUUCGUGAGCCCAGGGGACCGGCCGGGCCACGUGGGCCAUUGGUCCCGGUUCGUCCGGACCUUUUGGUCCCGGUUGGUGGGACGAACCGGGACCAAUGGCCCUGGCUCCUGGCCCACCAUCAUUGGUCCCGGUUGGUGGCUUGAACUGGGAUCAAAGGCUUCCCUUUAGCACCGGUUCAUGCCACCAACUGGGACCGAUGGUGGUGCCUAUAUAUACCCCCUCGCGCAAGAGCAGAGCACACUGCUCUGUUUUUUCUGGCCGAGGGGGAGAGGGCUUGGUGGUGCUCUAGCUCACCUCCUAUGCACACAAGGUGUUCGAUGGAAUGCCCGAGCCACACUACUUAAGGUUUCUCCUCUCCAAGCUCGACCGCCAAGCUCCAUUUUCCUCAAUAUUUAUCUAGGUUUAGCGGUCCGUCACGCCCCGUCCCCGUCUUCACCGCCGUCGAUCACCCGCGCCAAUCUCAUCGCCGGCACCACCGUGGUGAGCCUCUUGUUCUUAUCUUCUUUCUGAAAGAAAAAAUAUUCUUACUUGUAUGUUUAGAUAGAUACUUGUAUUAUUUUCUUACUUUUAUUAUUGCAUCUUAUAUAGUGCGAUGGUUUUGGUAUCCGCCCCCGUCGGCCCUCGUCCUGUCUAUGAUUCGGAUGUGGUAUAUAUUAUCUUUUCAUAACUAUUGGUUCAUUUAUUGUUUAUGAAAAUUAUGCCGACCAACGUGACAUAGAUUUUAUUUAUCUAGGAUGUUGUUGAACCGGAAAUUCCAACCGACCCUAUUGUCGAGAGGUUAAAUUUAGUUGAAGAAGAAAACAAUUUCUUGAAGGAAAAAAUAAAAAAACUUGAGGAGGAGAAGAUGAUAUUGGAGUUGCAUGUUGCGGAUGUCGUCGAUGAUCACAAGAUCAAGAUGGAUGCAAUGCGCUUGAAGAUGAGAAAGAUUAGAAAAUAUGCCAUUCAUACCGAGGCUUGGUAUCAUUAUGCCGUUGGAUCAGUUGUUACCUUGGUUGCGAUUAUGAUCGCAUUUGUUUUCGCAUUGAAAUGUUUUACAUAGUUUCAAUGUAUGGUUUAAUUAAUUUAGAUGCUCUGCAGAGCUUUAUGUUGUUAGAUGAGAACUAUGUAUGUACUUUGGUUUUUAUGUGAUGAUGAACUUCUAUUAAUUUGGUCACUUAAUUAUCUAUUCAUGAUGUUCUGUAAUGAUUUUUGACACACUUAAUUAUAUAUAAUGCACGCAGAUGAACCGGCAAUGGAUGUACGGUGACAGACACACCUCCGAGUACAUUAAGGGUGUGCAUGAUUUUCUCGAAGUGGCUGAGGCAAACAAGCAGAAUGGUUUUAUGUGUUGUCCAUGCCCUAUAUGUGGGAAUACGAAGUCUUACUCUGACCGGAAAAUCCUUCACACCCACCUGCUUUACAAGGGUUUCAUGCCACACUAUAAUGUUUCGACGAGGCACGGAGAAAUAGGGGUUAUGAUGGAAGACGGCGAGGAAGAAGAGUAUGAUGAAAACUAUCUGCCCCCUGAAUACGAUGAUGCUACUGAACAUCAAGAUGCACCAGACGAUGUGCACGAUGGUGCUGCAACGGGCGAAGCUGCUGAAGAUCAAGAGGAACCAGACGAUGUGCCCGAUGAUGAUGAUCUCCGCCGGGUCAUUGUCGAUGCAAGGACGCAAUGCGAAAGUUAAAAGGAGAAGCUGAAGUUCGAUCGCAUGUUAGAGGAUCACAAAAAAGGGUUGUACCCCAAUUGCGAAGAUGGCAACACAAAGCUCGGUACCGUACUCGAAUUGCUGCAGUGGAAGGCAGAGAAUGCUAUGCCUGAUAAAGGAUUUGAGAAGCUACUGAAAAUAAUGAAGAAGAAGCUUCCAAAGGAUAACGAAUUGCCCGACAGUACAUACGCAGCAAAGAAGGUCGUAUGCCCUCUAGGAUUGGAGGUGGAGAAGAUACAUGCAUGCCCUAAUGACUGCAUCCUCUACCGCGGUGCCUACAAGGAUCUGAACGCAUGCCCGGUAUGCGGUGCAUUGCGGUAUAAGAUCAGACGAGAUGACCCUGGUGAUGUUAACGACGAGCCUCCCAGGAAGAGGGUUCCUGCGAAGGUGAUGUGAUAUGCUCCUAUAAUACCACGGUUGAAACGUCUGUUCAGAAACGGAGAACAUGCCAAGUUGAUGCGAUGGCACAGUGAGGACCAUAAGAAAGACGGGAAGUUGAGAGCACCCGCUGACGGAUCGCAGUGGAGAAAAAUCGAGAGAAAGUACUGGGAUGAGUUUGCAAAGGACCCAAGGAACGUAUGGUUUGCUUUAAGCGCGGAUGGCAUUAAUCCUUUCGGGGAGCAGAGCAGCAAUCACAGCACCUUGCCCGUGACUCUAUGUAUGUAUAACCUUCCUCCUUGGACGAUGUGCAUGAAGCGGAAGUUCAUUAUGAUGCCAGUUCUCAUUCAAGGCCCUAAGCAACCCGGCAACGACAUUGAUGUGUAUCUAAGGCCAUUAGUUGAAGAACUUUUACAGCUGUGGAAUGAAAACGGUGUACGUACGUGGGAUGAGCACAAAAAAGAGGAAUUUGACCUAAAGGCAUUGCUGUUCGUGACCAUCAACGAUUGGCCCGCUCUCAGUAACCUUUCAGGACAUCCAAACAAGGGAUACCACGCAUGCACGCAUUGUUUACUUGACACCGAUAGUAUAUAUCUGGGAAGCUGCAGGAAGAAUGUGUACCUGGGAAGCUGCAGGAAGAAUGUGUACCUGGGAAGCUGCAGGGGGGCAUUAUUUCCGGUUUGUGCCAUGAACCGGGACCAAAGGCUUUUCUAUAUAAGCAAACACUUAGCGUUUUUUCAGAUUUCAUCGCCAGUUGCAGCCCGACGAUGCCGACCUCCUCGACGCCGCCAGGCUGCCCCGUCGCCGUCGCCGUCGCCCGUGCCCCCUGAGCCCACGCCGACGCCGUCCGCCGCCCUUGAGCCCACACCGUCGCCGGCCGCGCCCCUGCGCCACGCCCCGACGCCGUCGCCCGUGCCCGUCGCCGUCGUCGUNNNNNNNNNNNNNNNNNNNNNNNNNNNNNNNNNNNNNNNNNNNNNNNNNNNNNNNNNNNNNNNNNNNNNNNNNNNNNNNNNNNNNNNNNNNNNNNNNNNNNNNNNNNNNNNNNNNNNNNNNNNNNNNNNNNNNNNNNNNNNNNNNNNNNNNNNNNNNNNNNNNNNNNNNNNNNNNNNNNNNNNNNNNNNNNNNNNNNNNNNNNNNNNNNNNNNNNNNNNNNNNNNNNNNNNNNNNNNNNNNNNNNNNNNNNNNNNNNNNNNNNNNNNNNNNNNNNNNNNNNNNNNNNNNNNNNNNNNNNNNNNNNNNNNNNNNNNNNNNNNNNNNNNNNNNNNNNNNNNNNNNNNNNNNNNNNNNNNNNNNNNNNNNNNNNNNNNNNNNNNNNNNNNNNNNNNNNNNNNNNNNNNNNNNNNNNNNNNNNNNNNNNNNNNNNNNNNNNNNNNNNNNNNNNNNNNNNNNNNNNNNNNNNNNNNNNNNNNNNNNNNNNNNNNNNNNNNNNNNNNNNNNNNNNNNNNNNNNNNNNNNNNNNNNNNNNNNNNNNNNNNNNNNNNNNNNNNNNNNNNNNNNNNNNNNNNNNNNNNNNNNNNNNNNNNNNNNNNNNNNNNNNNNNNNNNNNNNNNNNNNNNNNNNNNNNNNNNNNNNNNNNNNNNNNNNNNNNNNNNNNNNNNNNNNNNNNNNNNNNNNNNNNNNNNNNNNNNNNNNNNNNNNNNNNNNNNNNNNNNNNNNNNNNNNNNNNNNNNNNNNNNNNNNNNNNNNNNNNNNNNNNNNNNNNNNNNNNNNNNNNNNNNNNNNNNNNNNNNNNNNNNNNNNNNNNNNNNNNNNNNNNNNNNNNNNNNNNNNNNNNNNNNNNNNNNNNNNNNNNNNNNNNNNNNNNNNNNNNNNNNNNNNNNNNNNNNNGCUAUUCCUUUCUUCUUCUCCUCUUUUUUUUCUUCUUCUUCUUCUUCUUCUUAAUUUUUAUCGGGAACGAGGGUGUCGAGGAUCGCCGAGGGGUCGAGGGUCGGGAACUAGGGUAGAGGGUCGAGGGUCGUUAAGGGGUCAAGGGUCGAGGGUUUCAGGGUCGAGGGUUCGAGGGUUCUAUAGGGUCGAGGGAUCGAGGGUCGUCUAGGGGUCGAGGGUUCCAGGGUCGUCGAGGGUUCGAGGGGUCGAGAGAGGUUUCCUAGUGUCAAUGUAUUGAAGAAAUCCAUGGCUUCAUCAUUAGCCGGAAGUAACCAGGGCAUGAUGGUACGAAGUCCUCCAAAGUUAUUCUGGAAUGGAGUCCCGGAUAGGAUAAUUUGCCUUUUUGUACGAAUUUCAGCAAAGGCCUUCCAAAUAAAGAUAUUUGGAAGGUUCUUGCUGAACUUUGUACCAAAAAGCAAAUUAUCCUAUCUGGGACUCCGUUCCAAAAAUAACUUUGGAGAGCUUCGUACUAUCAUGCACCUGUUACUUUCGCCUAAUGAUGAAGACAUGGUUUUGUUGAAUCCUUUGACACUAGGCAACCUCCCGACCCCUCGGCGAUCCUCGACCCCUUGACCCUUGACCGCUUGGCGAUCCUCGACCCCUUACCCUCGACCCCUCGGCGAUCCUCGACCCCUUGAUAGAAAAAAGAAGAGGAAGAAGAAAAAAAAAGAGGAGAAGAAAGAAUAGAGGAGAUAUCUUCUCCUCUAUUCUUUCUUCUACUCUUUUUUUUCUUCUUCUUCCUCUUUUUUUAUCGGGAACGAGGGUCGUCGAGGGUCGCCGAGCGGUAGAGGAAACCCUAAUAUCGUUGGUGUGAGAUACAUGUGGCCGUCGGUGUCGGACACUACAUCCACGUCCCACAAGUGACGCGGGCGUCGAUGCCCACGUCACUUGUGGGACAUAGAUGCAGUGUCGUCAUUGUUGUUGUCGAUAUACCCCCUCCCGAUAGCUUCAACACGUGGGGGGGGGGUCGAUAUUACCCCCUCCUUGAAGCGUUCUCGAGGCCACCCCUAACCCUUGAAGCGUUGUCGAGGCCACCCGAAACCCUAGAGAAGCAGCGUCGAGGCCACUAAUUAAUAUGAUUCCUUAUUGUGAUUAGCUAGCUAGUUCUACGUUUGCCACUAAUAUAUCCAUAUCUGUCAUGUUUGAAUAAUAAUUGCCAUGUUGUAAAUAUUUGUAGAAACUAUGGACACCCCGCCCCGAGACGAAGCACAAGAAGCGUUGUUGAGGGACAUAAUCGCAGAAGGAAGUGAUGCCGUCUGCUCGUUGAUGUUUCUCAACGACAACGAUGGUCUGGAAUGAGAGGGUGAAGAAGCAGCUGGCUAUGAUUUACAUGGCUCCAGGGACCCAAUGCCGAUGCAAGAAGGAGAUCGAGGGUGAAGAAGUAGACCGUGAGGACGGCUCCGGUGAUCACCGAACCGAGUCCGUCCAGGUAUAUAUAUUAGUUAAGCCUGUGCUGACUAGGGUUUUGAUGCAUUCAUUGUUUUGGUAUGUACACAUAUUAAUUAACUCUCAUCUUUGUUCUUUUUUCUAGCCCUCCGGAUCGAGCACAACUUCGGUAAAGAGACGAGGCCCGAAGAAAAAGUUGAGCUCGGAUGAAAAGUUUGAGAUCAUAGAAAUCGCGCGCGACGGCCAACCGAUUGAACCCUACCGGACAAAGAAGGCAUUUUUUGCUCAGUGCGGGGUUCUGGUUAGGGACAAGAUCCCGAUCAGCAUCCACCAAUGGUAUAAGCCUAAGAACGAAGACCCUGAGGUGUCUUAUAUCAAUGAUAUGCAGAAAAAUGAUCUUUGGACUGAGCUGAAGUCAAAUUUCACCCUACCACCAGAGGAUGAUCUGGAGAAGCCAGUUAUAAAGCCAUUAAUCAAGUAUUUUGCUCUUAAGAAGAUGACAGACCUAUUCAGGAAUUGGAAGAAAGACCUGAAUAGGUAUGUCGAUAAAAAUGAGACACCAGAAUUCAAGGGCAAAUAUGAGAAGAUCAGAGAUGACUGGCCCGCAUUUGUGGCCCACAAGACAUUGGAAAAGAGUAAAAAGAUGUCGACGACAAACAAGCUAAAUGCUGCGAAGAAGAAGCUUCACCAUCGCACGGGGUCAGGUGGCUACCUCGUAGCCCGGCCUAAGUGGGCCAAGGCUAAGAAUGAUCUGCUUGAUAAAGGGAUCAAACCAGAGACAAUGAACUGGCCAGACCGUUGCCGUACUUGGUUCUUCGGGGCUGGCGGAACCUUGGACCCUGUAUCAGGGAAGUGCAUCUGGACGGACGAGCAAUUGGAAAUACCAGUCAAGAAGCUUCGGCACUAUAUCGAUGUAGCGCAGCAAGGGACGUUCAUUCCAGAUAGGGAGAAGGACGAGCUCACAAUGGCCCUCGGGAAUCCUGAGCACCCUGGACGGACACGACGCACGCCAGGCUCCGUUUCGUGGAAGGCUGGAUUUUCGGACGCAGGGGGUUACAAAACCCAGGAGAGGAGGAAGAAACUGGAGCAGAGCCAACUGCAGGCGCUGCACGAAAGGGUAAUGGGGCUAGAGGAACAAGAAGCAGAUCACAGCAAACGACCUGCCGAAGCUUCCCCCGAAGCUACCCCACCAUCUCAGCGGAGAAGCAGUGUGGCUUCCACCGAGCUGCUUCAGCGGAGCAUGCCUUGACGGCUCCUGCCAGCUAUCCCGUGAAUGCUAUCACGGAGGCUGAAAAUUGCCACCUUAUGGCGGAAUGGAGCAAUUUGAAGGUCAAGGCGGCUGUUGGCUCUGUUUAUCCUACUGAACCCGACUCAACUUUUCACUCCCGGCCGAUUCCAGAAGGAUAUGCUAAGGUGAUGGUGGAUGAAAUAACGGAGGGAUUUGAGGACCUCCGGCUUGACCACCCUACCGGUGAAGGGGAGUAUCGGCUGGGUUUUGCUCUGAAGACUCCAUGCCUAUGGCGGAAGGAUCUCAUCAACCUUCCGAACUGGACGCCUCCGCCACCUCCUCCUCCUCCGGCGAGUCAGGGCACUCCGCCUCCUCCACCCCCUCCUCCACCGCCUCCUUCUCGGCGAGUGACGAUCAGGGCACUCGGCCGGCUCCUUCUCCGGCGCGUGGCGGCACUCCGCCUCCUUCUCCGCCUGCACCGGCGCGCCCGAGCAGCCAGCCUCCUCCUUCUCCGCCUCGUCAGAAAGGGCGGAAGAGACCCGCCGCCGCUCCGGCUGCUCCGGCGCGUCGUAGUCCUUAUCCUCCGCCUCGUAAGCAAGGAAAGAAGACAUCCGCUCCGUCUGCUCUGCUGGCGUCUAGCAGUACAGCCAAAGGCGGGAGGAGAUACAGAUUCCGUCCUUCUCUGAAGACUCCAGAGAAGUUACCGUACGAGAGGUCCGAGGAGGAAAACGCGAAGAUCGCGCAGACCGAAGUGGAUGACUGGUUUCAAGGGUUGAAAGCAAAGAGACAUCCACCUCCGGAGGAGAAGGUAGAUCCGGUGAAAGUGAAGCGCACUCUGGCUGCCCUGACAAAACCACCCAAGUCUCCACCGAAAGGCAACUAUGAGCGCAUUAUUGGAAAGGCAUUUGCCGAAGCGGAGAGGUCGGGAAGUACUAAAAGUGAUCAAAGGAUGAAAGAACGACGAGCUGGGAAACAAAUUGCCCAGCUCGGCGAACAAGCGAAGCAAUCGUGCCCCCCGCUCAAGGUGCCUGCUAGGGACAUCAUCGAUCCGAGGAUGGUGCCCGGUUAUGGCAAUCCUGCAGAUUACCUGCCCGACGAUGUACAUUAUGAUUUCUUGGAGGUGCAGAUACAAAGAUAUGAGUACGGGAAGCCUCUCGUCAAAGAUGAAAGUUCUCUAUCAACGAUGAUGCGAAGAUUGCAUGAUUGGUACAUGAAAACCUGCAGAGAGUCUGAGGGGAGGAGUACUUUGUAUGUGAGAGUUAAAAAGGAGCAUGACCUCCUUGGAAUUGAACUAAUGCCUAUUCCAUUUGUGGAGUUCUAUCAGUUUUUCAAUCAAUUGGCCCUCGAUAAAGCAACGGUCACCUGCUACUUUCUGUAAGUAGUACUACUUCUGUCAUUAAGUCUCUCUAUAUAACUCAGCUCUUUCAUUGCAUGUAUUUAUAAUUAUCCUCACUAUAUUAUGCAGAUUGAAGAUCGCCGAAUUGAAGAAAAGACAAGAGGGUGAUAUUGGGUUCAUUAACACAUAUCUCAUAGAUAAAACUGAGGUUAAAUUUCAUGCCGAAAAUACCGAGGCCAACUUGCUACAAUCGUUGGUAAUAAAUGAACACAAAGAUAUAAUACUCUUUCUUUACAACUUCAAGUGAGUAUUACUGUCUUGUGGCAUAUUCGGUUUCCCUUAUUAGUCCAGGUUAUAGUAAUGUAAUAUUGAUGAGUUAUGCAUGUGUGCGCAGCUACCACUAUAUUCUACUAGAGAUUAAGCUUGAGAAGGGAGUAGUAACUGUCUUAGACUCCAAACGAAAAGAUCCCAAGGAGUAUGCGGACAUGAUUGAAAUGCUCGAGAAGUAAGUUAAAUCGAUCAUUAUCCACCAUAUCAGCAACUUUGUUCAUUUCUGAUAUCAAGUAAUUAUUUUCUUUGUAUGGCAGGGCUUGGAGAAAAUUCACCAAAAAAGCUCCGGGACUGCCGAAGAAGCUGCAAUUUAGACACCCGAAAGUAAGUACUAUAGUAGCAUAUUCCACGCAUCCACUAGUGAUUCAAGCGCUAGUUUCAUCAAUACCAUUUAGCAUGCUUGCUAAUUAUCAGUUUGAUUGACCUCUAUUUCUUGUAAAGUGGUUGUGGCAGGAACAAGGGAAUGAUUACUGUGGAUACUACAUUUGCGAGUCCAUCCGCCACACGACCUGUGAGCGGGGCUACUCUGACAAACAAUAUGAAGUGCGUAAAUAACAAUAUUCACAAUUUUAUAUUAUUACCAUCAUUUGUGUUGAGUUUCAUUCAUUCAUAUAUAUAUGUAUUGACCCCCUUCUUAAAAUUAGAUGUUUCGGAUGCGGGAUGAACUCCUAGCACCAGAUCGCCUGCGAGCAAUUCAAGAGGAAUUGGCGGCAUUCUUUCUUGACCACGUGAUCACUGAAGACGGAGAAUACUAUGUGGACCACGCGUCCGUAUGUUAGGAGAUUAUAUUUGUAAAAGAUAAUUAUUGUAUAUAUGUAGCCGGUAGUGUCGGAUAGAUAUACGAGAACUUGUUUUUCGACCAAUCUCUCGGAGAAGGAGAGGUGGUCGAUAUCACUUCUCUCUGUAUGCAUAUAUGUUCAUGACGAUCUUCUGUUUCCUUCGUUCGCUUACUAGCUAGCUAGCCUGUCUAGCUAGUCCUCUUUAUACGUAUGUAUAGUACGUAGCGUCGACUAAGCACGGACAAAAGAGAGGACACUUCUUUCUAUUAAUUAGCUAACUAACACAAUGUAUGAAACACCUAAAUUAACCCCCCAAAACCCCCAAACCACCCCCCCCCCUUUCAAAAAAAAAUCAAAACCCCCAGCCACAAAAAUGCUGACGCGUGGAUGCCUAUUGGACCCGGUUGGUGCCACCAACCGGGACCAAAGGCCCUCCUGCCUGGGCUGAGCGGAAAGGCCACGUGGAGGCCCAUCUGUCCCGGUUCUGGAUUGAACCGGGACUAAAGGGUCAGGGCAUUAGUACCGACCCUUUAGUCCCGGUUCAUGAACCGGAACUAAAGGCCCUCACCAACCGGGACUAUAGGCCCUUUUUCUACUAGUGUGGAAGUACUUGGUAUCCCCAUCUACUUCUAAUAAAUCAUUAUCAUUUGUCCCUUGAAAAAAAAUCAUUAUCAACUGUUCCCUGUUUCCAUUUCAAUUCUUCACUUCUAAGAAGCUUCUUUGGAUUAGUAGCUCUUGUUUCAUUUUUCAUAUCCAAAUCAUCAAAUUUUCUCAAUUUCUUUUUUUUAGAUAUCUACACAUCCGUUCAAUAUUGAUAUGCAACCCUUUCAAAUGUUUCCUCAAUAUCCUAGUUUUCUCGUACGGUUUAUCUUAUCAUGCAUACUUACAUAAGUAGAAGUAUUCAACCUUUUUUGUGCAACCUACUUAAAACCACCUCUCUCCAGCCAACAUGUCUCGAAUCUCAAUAUAUCACUAAGACGGGAGAUAUCGCAGUGCUAAGGUGUAGCUUCACAUGAUCUCACGGGCCCAAAUAACGUGGCCCAAAGCUACCCUGUCCAAACGACCAGUCACUCCCAUUUUCUUAUUCUCUUUUCAUAGAAAUUUACCUAUUCCCUCACGUUGGAUACAUAUAUAUUAAGAAUCGAUGCAUCAGAGACGUGUUUGGUUGCUUGCAUGGAGCCCAAGCAGCUUCGUAUGUAAAGAAAUUGGUCUAUUUGAUUGUCCACAUUCACUAUUUGCCUGCAUAACACGGAAUUUAAAAAGCACUUUUGGGCCUACAUCCUUGGGAACCCUUGAUUCGACCGGUUUCGGGAGCUAGGCCCGAGCGAUGCAAUCAAGCUCACGUGGAUGGCCCUCGUGGUGCAGUUACGUGUGAGCUUGCACGUGUUCUAGUAUAAGCUUCCUUUAAUCUAUUUGACUUUUUAAUCAACACAACGGUACUCUGCUUUAAGAUAAGGUCUACAGAAAAAAGAUACACAUCGAUGUUGCGAUUCCAUUCAGAAAAUUGGUUCGUAGUUUUUUCGACUAUAUAUGUUCAAUUUCGUGUUCAUAUUUGGAGCUAUUUUGCAUGAAUUUUGUCAAAAUUCAUCGUGCAGGGUUGACCGCUUGAAAUUUUGUUUGACCAGUGGCUUCAUCUCACAAUUUCACACGACUUUCGGCGUGCACGUUAUGUGUUUCGACAAUUGUAAAUGAGUAGAUCUACAUCUUCCUCAUGAGUGUAAAUAUGUGUAUGAUUGUGUUGCUUAAUUGACAGUUCUUAAUGUCCCUUGUAGUCCCUUUUAACCGUUCUUCUCGGGCUCCUCUUGCUCGUCCUGCUGCAAAGGCGGCAGCAUCGCCGUCGUUCAUCUUGGCCUCCUCUCCCGCGUCUCACUGCACUGGUGCGACCAUCAAUGUCGUUCCUUUCAGCCUUCUCUCCCACGUCUUGCUACAGUGACGCCAUCGUCCGCGCCGUUCCUCUCGGCCUCCUUGCAUCCGUCCUACUAUGCUGUUGUUAGCGUGCUUCCUCUCACUCUCCUCGCUUAUGUUCUACUACAUUGUCGCCGGCAUCGUUCUUUUCGGCCUCCUCCCCUGCACCUACUACACUGACACGACCAUGGUGCGCACAUUGCAUUUGUGCCCCUCUGAUCUCCGCCUCGGUGCUUCUUCGCACAAACAUUCUCUGCAGCGACGAUAAUAUCAACUAGUUCGCUGCCGCACCAGCAGGCCCGCCCGCGACUGCAUGCUUGUCGUGUCGGACGUGGCGCCGAGGUCACCGUCCACCGCAGUCACAAGGCACACUAGAGCCUGUUUGGUAGGUCGCAUAGAGGCCAACCAAGCCCUCGCGGGAAAGAAAAUGGGCUAUUUGGUUCCCUGUAUUCACUGUUGGGCCUGCGUUGCGCAGAGCUUAAAGCAGCUCCCAGCCAGGCCCGCUAGAAACUACUGAAUCGGCAGUUUCAAGCCAGUCAGGCUGAGUUGAGCCACAUCGAGGGCACAUUGUGUGCCCCCUUGCACAAGAGUAUGCCAGUGUGAUGUGAGGCCCGUACGUGCUAUCAGCUCCUACCUCAGAGUGAGUUCGUCUCUAAUCUCCUUUCUUCCUCGCUCCUUUCAAUCUACCCAACGGUGCUUCCAUUCGAGAUAAGGCCUACACGAAAAAGAUGCACACCAAUGUUAUGGUUUCAUUCAGACGAUCGGUUCGAAGUUUCGUCGACCGUAGAUGCUUAAUUUUGUGUUCAUGUUUGGAGUUAUUUUGUAUGAAUUUUACCAAAUUUGUCGCGCAUGGUUGACCCUUUGAAAUUUCUUUUGACCAGUAGCUUUGUCUUGUAGUUUCACACGAUUUUCGUAUUGCACAUUUUUUUUUGUUUGGACGAUCGUAGACGAGUAGAUCUAAUUUCUUCCUCAUUGGAAUGUAUGCAUGCAUAUGUGUGGUGUGUGUUAAUGACACUCCUUAAUCUCAGUCUCAAGUCCUAUGUCGUGCUACACUGGCACAAACGUCGGCGUCGUUCUUCUCGGCCUUCUCUCCCGCGUACUGUUGCACUAGCGCCACCACCGCGUCGUUCCUCUCAACCUCCUCUCCCGUGUCAUUCUACACUCGGGCGAUCAUCGUUCCUCUCUGUUUUCUCUCCCAUGUCCUGCUACACUGAAGCCACCGCGACGUUGUUCAUCUCGACUUCCUCGCUUGCGUCCUACUACACUAACGCCAUCGUCAAUGUUGUUGUCUUAGGCCUUCUCUCUGCACCCUCUUGCACCAACACUACCAUGGCAUGCAAACUGCAUUUCUCCUUCAUAUUUUUCUUCCUCAGCGCCAUGACGUCGACAUUGCUAUGUGUAGCUGCGAACCUUGUCGGAUGGGCGCCAUAUUGUGCCAGGUGCUGCCGCCGGCGUCGUUACUCUCGGCCUAUUUUCCGCCGGCUUACACUGACGCCCAAUUUCGAGCACACUUCAAAGAAACCCUAUUGUAACUCUGUGCUGUCAUGUGUAGGUGUUAACUCUUAAUCGUAUCCCGUGUAUACAACUAAACAUCGUGUAGUUGCGUGAGUGGAGACAACGCAACACACCAAACAACGUGCCAAUCUGAUGCCCUAAUGCAGAAAGUCUAGAUGUGGGCUACCAAACGAUAUACAGAUGUUGGUUUUUUUUCUGUUUUCCCUCAGCCAGGCCCAACUGACACAUAUAUGCAAUGCAGGCAAAUUGGCAGAUGACAACCAAACACGCCCCUAGUGUAACUCUGUGUAUUAAGUGCAAGCGCUAACUCUUAAUUAUAUACCGUGUAUACAACCAAACACCGUGUAGUUGCAUGAGUCGAGCCAAUGCAUACCAGUAAAUGUGAUACCAAAAACGAUCCUCUAAUGUAGACAACCUUGAUGCGAACAAAUAAACGAUGUGUAGAUGUUGAUAUUUUUCAUAUUUUUUCUCAACCAGGCCCAAGUGAGCCACACAUACAAUGCAUGCAAAUUCCCAAAUAGCAACCAAACACGCCGCGGACUGCUUCCAAACCCAGCCUCUACGUGCGUGUUUGAUGCCAGCGAAAAGCAUCGAUGGGCCGAGCCAGCCUGUACACACGCGAGAUCGCCGGAAAAUAGUAACCGGCGGCCGGUCCCGGCCAGCUCCAACAGCAGACAGGCACACGCGCGAUGCGAUCGAGUACAGCUAGACGUUGUGCAUGUAUGCAUGCAUAGCACAGCACCUAUGUCGAAUGACUCGGUGCACUCGUCGUAGCGGUCAAAAUAAUCGUCCCUAAGGCCGGCUGUUUCAGCCUUCAGCGCACGAUAACUCGGGAACUGGAUCCUCUAACAUUGAAAAGGAAAAUUAGAGAAGCUAUAAUAUAGUAUAUUCUAACUUUCUUUCUUUCAAUCCAUAUAAGUAAGUCUAAACUAAUUUAAUUAAUUUGCGUAUUACAGAUUUAAUGUGUACAUUUAUAAUCAUUAUAUUCAAACAAAAUGUUGGUUAAACCAAAUUAAUUAUUGAUUAUUUAUAUCUAUAGUAAAUAUCGAUAGUAAAUAAUUUGCUAAACGUCUCUAACAUUUUUUCUUCAUUUUACACUAGGAUUAUAUUUUUUUUUUUAGAACCAAUGAGUGAAACUACUCAUGGUUGGGAUUACAUUCACGCAGCCAUAGCCGCUCAAGAGGAUCAGGAACCUUCCCUAUCAUCAGGAUAUCUCCUGAAAUCUUUGCCAUACCUGCAAGACCAUGCGCUAGAGAAUUACACUCUCUUUUCACAAUGCUGAACUGAUGAUAUGGGAAUAGUUGCAGGCAGCUCUUGAUUUCCGUUAUCAAGGAGAAGCAAGCAGAGCAACUCUUUACCUAGCACAGCACAGUCUAUCUCCACCACCAGCGGCCCCUUAUAAAUCCGAAGCAGCUCCUGAAGCCCAGUCAGGACAGCGCUAGCUUCGGCCUCUUCGACGGAUGCACGGACUCCCACAUUUUUGCAAAAGGAUAUAAGGACCCUCCCCUGGUUGCUGCAACCCGUCGGCUAGCCUGCGGCACCACACCAUCGGCACCGCCACGCUUCACUGCAGCUCCGGCAACCCCCGCGCUGCUUCAUCACAACACCGGCGAGCCCCCUCUACUUCAUCUGCUGCACACAGCUCCCGCCGGCCAUGGCAUCAUCUUCACCCUAGCCUAGCGGCCUAGCCUACAGCAGCGCGAGGUAAGCGGAGACAGCCAUAUGCAGCAGCGGUGCAACAGCACUAGGUGACGACGUAAGGUGAUUGCGGUGCCGGUCUACAGCGACGGCGAUGGCGCUGGUAUGUGCUGUUGUGUGCUGGAGGAAGAAGAAAAGGGAAGAAAAGAAUGAAUGGCUCAACGCAACUGAGGAAGAGAUAAGGGGAAAAGAAAGGAUAAAGCAGGGAGAGAGAUAAGCGGCGCGUGGGACUCAUCGGACGAGUGGCGCAUGUUGGAGACGGCUUACGCAGGGACAAAAUCAUCUGAUUUAUUUAGAACGUUUUCCUUGUUUGUUUUUGUCUUCAAAAUAGUCGAUCACAACUUCCCAGGUCACCUUUUGGAGUGCUCUGAAUAAACUUUAUGGACUAAAAGAGAUCCCUUGCUGCUGCUGCUGCGAUUUAUAGGCUUGUAGCUAUAAAACCAGCUGAGCUGCUGUGCACAAUAAACAUCCUCAUUCAGUAAACUGAACAAGUAAUUAGCUAGCGCCGCUGAGAUGGUUCAUCCGUUGCAUGGCAUCCAUGAGCUGCUGCUGCAAGGGAGGUCUCCACAUGCAGACCUAGGACUGGUCUUUCUCCUGCUCGUCUGCCCUCUUCUUCUCCUCCUGGUCGUGCGCAGCCUCGCGACGCCGUCGACGGCCGUGGCCACCGCGAGAGCCAGAGAAGAGCUGCUGAGCAGGCUGCCUUCCCCCAGCAGCAGGCUCCCCGUCGUCGGCCACCUGCACCUCGUCGGCCCGCUCCCGCACGUCUCGCUCCGCGACCUGGCCGCCAAGCACGGCCGCGAUGGACUAAUGCUCCUCCGCCUCGGAGCCGUCCCGACGCUCAUCGUAACCUCGCCGAGCGCCGCGCAGGCCGUGCUGCGCACCCACGACCACGUCUUCGCGUCCCGGGCAUACUCCCCCGUCACCGACAUCCUCUUCUACGGCUCCACGGACGUCGCCUUCUGCCCCUACGGCGAGCACUGGCGGCAGGUCAAGAAGAUCGCCACCACGCACCUCCUCACCAACAAGAAGGUCCGCUCCUACCGCCAUGCGCGCGAGAACGAG